rnacentral:rRNA from 1 species
GACGUAGGGCGCGAGCGUUGUCCGGAUUUAUUGGGCGUAAAGAGCUCGUAGGCGGUUUGUCGCGUCUGUCGUGAAAUCCCAUGGCUUAACCGUGGGCGUGCGGUGGGUACGGGCAGACUGGAGUGCGGUAGGGGAGACUGGAAUUCCUGGUGUAGCGGUGAAAUGCGCAGAUAUCAGGAGGAACACCGAUGGCGAAGGCAGGUCUCUGGGCCACUACUGACGCUGAGAAACGAAAGCAUGGGGAGCGAACAGGAUUAGAUACCCGU